rnacentral:rRNA from 1 species
GUAGAGCACUGUUAUGGCUAGGGGGACAUGGCGUCUUACCAAACCAUGGCAAACUCCGAAUACUUGGAAGUAAGAGCACGGGAGACAGAGCACCGGGUGCUAACGUCCGGACUCAAAAGGGAAACAACCCAGACCGCCGGCUAAGGUCCCCAAUAACAGCUAAGUGGAAAACGAAGUGGAAAGGCCGUGACAACCAGGAAGUUGGCUUAGAAGCAGCCAUCCUUCAAAGAAAGCGUAAUAGCUCACUGGUCGAGUCCUUCUGCGCGGAAGAUGUAACGGGGCUAAGCUGUUAACCGAAGCCGCGGAUGCACUGAUUAUUCAGUGCGUGGUAGGGGAGCGUUCUGUAAGUCUGCGAAGGCGGUUCGAGAGGACUGCUGGAGAUAUCAGAAGUGCGAAUGCUGACAUGAGUAACGUUAAAGCAGGUGAAAAGCCUGCUCGCCGUAAGCCCAAGGAUUCCUGCUCUACGUUCAUCGGAGCAGGGUGAGUCGGCUCCUAAGGUCAGGCCGAAAGGCGUAGCCGAUGGGAAUCAGGUUAAUAUUCCUGAACCUGCGUCAGAUGCGAUGGGGGGACGGAGCAUGAAAGAUCAUCCGGGUGUUGGAUGUCCCGGUUGACGAGCGUAGGAGGUCUGCAGGCAAAUCCGCAGACGCAUCUCCAAGGCAAAGACACGUGCCGCCACGGCGGCGAAGUGAUCGGAAGUGCUUCCAAGAAAAGCCUCUAAGCACCAGUCUGGCGCGGACCGUACCGCAAACCGACACUGGUGGGCGAGCUGAAUAUGCUCAGGCGCUUGAGAGAACUCGGGAGAAGGAACUCGGCAAAUUGACACCGUAACUUCGGAAGAAGGUGUGCCGUAGUACCGUGAGAGGAGAGACACCUUGAGCGGGAAUCGGUCUCAGAGAAUAGGUGGCUGCGACUGUUUAUUAAAAACACAGCACUCUGCAAAGUCGAAAGACGACGUAUAGGGUGUGAUGCCUGCCCGGUGCUGGAAGAUUAAUUGAUGGGGUGAGAGCCCUUGAUCGAAGUCCCAGUAAACGGCGGCCGUAACUAUAACGGUCCUAAGGUAGCGAAAUUCCUUGUCGGGUAAGUUCCGACCUGCACGAAUGGCAUAACGAUGGCCACACUGUCUCCUCCCGAGACUCAGUGAAGUUGAAAUGUUUGUGAUGAUGCAAUCUACCCGCGGCUAGACGGAAAGACCCCAUGAACCUUUACUGCAGCUUUGCAUUGAACUGUGAACCGAUUUGUGUAGGAUAGGUGGGAGGCAGAGAAGAGUCCACGCCAGUGGUCUUGGAGCCGACCUUGAAAUACCACCCUGAUUUGUUUGCGGUUCUAACCACGGACAGUGAUCCUGUCUUGGGACCGUGCAUGGUAGGCAGUUUGACUGGGGCGGUCUCCUCCUAAAGGGUA